rnacentral:rRNA from 1 species
UGGGGAAUAUUGCACAAUGGAGGGAACUCUGAUGCAGCGACGCCGCGUGAACGAAGAAGGCUUUCGAGUCGUAAAGUUCUUUUAUAUGGGAAGAUAAUGACGGUACCAUAAGAAAAAGCCCCGGCUAACUACGUGCCAGCAGCCGCGGUAAUACGUAGGGGGCUAGCGUUGUCCGGAAUCACUGGGCGUAAAGGGUUCGCAGGCGGAAAUGCAAGUCAGGUGUAAAAGGCAGUAGCUUAACUACUGUAAGCAUUUGAAACUGCAUAUCUUGAGAAGAGUAGAGGUAAGUGGAAUUUUUAGUGUAGCGAUGAAAUGCGUAGAUAUUAAAAAGAAUACCGGUGGCGAAGGCGGCUUUCUGGACUGCAACUGACACUGAGGCACGAAAGCGUGGGUAGCAAACAGG